rnacentral:rRNA from 1 species
CCAGGGUUUGACAUCCUGCUAACGAAGUAGAGAUAUGUUAGGUGCCCUUCGGGGAAAGCAGAGACAGGUGGUGCAUGGUUGUCGUCAGCUCGUGUCGUGAGAUGUUGGGUUAAGUCCCGCAACGAGCGCAACCCUUAUUGUUAGUUGCUACGCAAGAGCACUCUAGCGAGACUGCCGUUGACAAAACGGAGGAAGGUGGGGACGACGUCAAAUCAUCAUGCCCCUUAUAUCCUGGGCUACACACGUAAUACAAUGGCGGUAAACAGAGGGAGGCAAGACCGUGAGGUGGAGCGAACCCCUAAAAGCCGUCCCAGUUCAGAUUGCAGUCUGCAACUCGACUGCAUGAAGUCGGAAUCGCUAGUAAUCGCGGAUCAGCAUGCCGCGGUGAAUACGUUCCCGGGCCUUGUACACACCGCCCGUCACACCAUGAGAGUCGGGAACACCCGAAGUCCGUAGCCUAACCGCAAGGAGGGCGCGGCCGAAGGUGGGUUCGAUAAUUGGGGUGAAGUCGUAACAAGGUAACCGU